AUUGAACGCUGGCGGCAUGCCUUACACAUGCAAGUCGAACGGCAGCACGGGUGCUUCCACCUGGUGGCGAGUGGCGAACGGGUGAGUAAUACAUCGGCACAUGUCCUGUAGUUGGGGAUAGCCCGGCGAAAGCCGGAUUAAUACCGCAUACGAACUACGGAUGAAAGCGGGGGACCUUCGGGCUUCGCGCUAUAGGGUUGGCCGGUGGCUGAUUAGCUGGUUGGUGGGGUAAAGGCCUACGAAGGCGACGAUCAGUAGCUGGUCCGGGAGGACGACCAGCAACACUGGAACUGAGACACGGCCCAGACCCCUAGGGGAGGCAGCAGUGGGGAAUUUUGGACAAUGGGCGAAAGCCUGACCCAGCAAUGCGGCGUGGGUGAAGAAGGCCUUCGGGUUGUAAAGCACUUUUGUCCGGAAAGAAAUCCUUGGCUCUAAUACGGUCGGGGGAUGACGGUACCGGAAGAAUAAGCACCGGCUAACUACGU
rnacentral:rRNA from 1 species